rnacentral:ncRNA from 13 species
CCUUCGAUAGCUCAGUUGGUAGAGCGGUGGACUGUAGUUGGUUCGCGAUAAAAAGAAAGAGAGAGACAUCCAUAGGUCGCUGGUUCAAAUCCGGCUCGAAGGA